AUUGAACGCUGGCGGCAUGCCUUACACAUGCAAGUCGAACGGCAGCGGGGGAGAAGCUUGCUUUUCCUGCCGGCGAGUGGCGAACGGGUGAGUAAUACAUCGGAACGUGCCCUGUAGUGGGGGAUAACUAGUCGAAAGAUUAGCUAAUACCGCAUACGACCUGAGGGUGAAAGUGGGGGACCGCAAGGCCUCAUGCUAUAGGAGCGGCCGAUGUCUGAUUAGCUAGUUGGGGGGGUAAAGGCCUACCAAGGCGACGAUCGGUAGCUGGUCUGAGAGGACGAUCAGCCACACUGGGACGGAGACACGGCCCAGACUCCUACGGGAGGCAGCAGUGGGGAAUUUUGGACAAUGGGCGAAAGCCUGAUCCAGCAAUGCCGCGUGUGUGAAGAAGGCCUUCGGGUUGUAAAGCACUUUUGUCCGGAAAGAAAUGGCUCUGGUUAAUACCUGGGGUCGAUGACGGUACCGGAAGAAUAAGGACCGGCUAACUACGUGCCAGCCGCCGCCGUAA
rnacentral:rRNA from 1 species